rnacentral:rRNA from 1 species
GUUUGAUCCUGGCUCAGAUUGAACGCUGGCGGCAUGCUUUACACAUGCAAGUCGAACGGCAGCACGGGUGCUUGCACCUGGUGGCGAGUGGCGGACGGGUGAGUAAUGCAUCGGAACGUGUCCUAAAGUGGGGGAUAACGCAUCGAAAGAUGUGCUAAUACCGCAUAUUCUCUGAGGAGGAAAGUAGGGGAUCGAAAGACCUUAUGCUUUUGGAGCGGCCGAUGUCUGAUUAGCUAGUUGGUAGGGUAAUGGCUUACCAAGGCGACGAUCAGUAGUUGGUCUGAGAGGACGACCAGCCACACUGGGACUGAGACACGGCCCAGACUCCUACGGGAGGCAGCAGUGGGGAAUUUUGGACAAUGGGCGCAAGCCUGAUCCAGCAAUGCCGCGUGAGUGAAGAAGGCUCGGUUGUAAGACGUCUUCUAGUUGUAGAAGAAAAGUACGU